CAGAUCAGACAUAGAGUGAGUUAUACUCUAGAAGAGAACUGCGAGUCUUGACUCUCAAAGUCAUUGUCUCUCAUUAGUGUAAAUGUUGCUCCUGGUGUUCUUUAUAUUUUCUCUUCUAAAAGAGAAUGAUGCUGCUGAUGUCAUAAAACCAGUCUUCACAGAGAAGCAGGUUUUGGCAGGAAAAAAUGUUACACUGAUCUGCAACUACACUGGAAAUGUUCAGAAUUUACAGUGGUACCGUCAAUAUCCUGGAUCCGAACCCGAGCACCUCAUUAUGUUCUUUGAAACCAGCCCUAAACCAGAGCCUGCUCUCCGUCUGACCGCUGCAGCUGAUAAAGAAGCCAAAAGUAUGAAUCUGACCAUCUCUUCUACAGAAGUGAAAGACUCUGCCAUGUACUACUGUGCCCUGGAGCCCACAGUGACAGGAAACACAACUAGACUGUACAAAAACUGAAUGAGAAAUAUAUUUACAGAAGAUGAUGAUGCACAAUAAAUAGUUUAAAACUAUACUCUUUAUAAAAUGGACACUCAACUGCUACAUAUUGGAAUAAAUUUUAAACACGUGUACAAGUGGUAGUGCAUCCUGAUUCUCAGAAAUAUUAAGACUACAUUUUAUGGAUAUGAAAAGCAACUUAAUGCUUGAAACUUUUGACAUCUGUACACUGCAAUUUUUGUAUAAUAUCAUAAAUUAGAGAGACAAAAUGUCAUUUUAGCUUGUAGACUACAGUUUAUUCAUGUACUGACCAUACAUGUAGGGUGAGAUGAGUGAGUAGGUAUGUGUGGGAGGAGCUCAAUGUGUUGUCAACUUCAGCAGAAGAACUCAAGAGGUUCAAUCUUAGUUUAGUUCUUGACUUUCAAAGUCACCGGCUCUCAUUAGUGUAGAUGUUGCUCCUCAUAUUCAUUAUAUUUUCUCUCCUAAAAGGUGAGUGAUU